rnacentral:lncRNA from 1 species
AUAGAAUAAUAUUUCCUCACUUUUUUAUUAUUAUAUUGAAACAUGGACGGUACAUUAGAACAAUUUCAUUAAUUUCCUCAGAGCUAAGCUCCUGAGAAAACAAACGCUUGUUCCAAGUAAAUUUGUCAACUUUCAAGUACAAUCACAGACGUGGGCCUUGCACUUGCAAUCGCAUUCUGGGCAUACCACUUUACAAUCAGCGUCAAUUGUGCAUUGAACACUAUCUGUCUUGGCCUCAUUCGUUAUUUCCCUUGCUUCUGUUCCAUGUCCUAAACCUGUACGUACAUUACAUAAACAUACGAGCAUCAAUAUUCACAUUAAAAAAAAUAAAAUAAUCAAUAUUCACAUAAAAAAAAAAUCAAUGUGUAACCCCGAUCGGGUUUAAGAAUUACCCGGUUGAGUAUAUACUCAAAGCAUUUUGUCAGCUUUUUAGUCUCUUUAUCAUUUUUUGUUUACAUAUGUAUUGUUAGCUUCAGGGAUUUGGAAACUAAAAGCAAUCUGGUGUUGAUUUAACACAACUAAAUCACAAAGAAACGUAAGCAAAUCAGAGAUUCUUACAUGAAGCAGUAACAAUUAGGGCCACCAAGAAAGUUAACUUGAGCAAAGAUUUCUCCAUUGUCUCGAGAGAUAAAAUUACCUAUGAAUUUUAAUGUGAUUGUAAAAUGUGCUUUAUGC